rnacentral:tRNA from 2 species
AGUUUUGUAUUCAAUAAUGAUUUUAAAUUGCAAAUUUAAAGGUGAAUUUUAAAAUUCCAGAACUU